GCCCAGCACGGUCGUGUGUGCCUGUAGUCCCAGCUACUCGGGAGGCUGAGGUGGGAGGAUCGCUUGAGCGUAGGAGUUCCAGGCUGUGGUGCGCUAUGCUGAUUGGGUGUCUGCACUAAGUUUGGCAUCAAUGUGGUGACCUCCUGGGAGCGAGGGACCACCAGGUUGCCUAAGGAGGGGUGAAGUGGCCCAGGUUGGAAACAGAGCAGGUCGAAACUCCUGUGCUGAUUAGUAGUGGGAUUGCACCUGUGAAUAACUGCACACCAGCCGGGCAACAUAGCGAGACCCUGUCUCUU
ensembl:misc_RNA Metazoa_SRP Metazoan signal recognition particle RNA